CAGUAAUGAGCCAGAGAAGAAGGAAAGGCAGAUGAAUUUGCCAGCAUUAUUGCAGGUACAGUCAUGUGCCGCAUAAUGACAUUCAGUCAAUGACAGACUGCAUAUAUGAGGUGGUCCUGUAAGGUGAUAAUGGAGCUGAAAAAUUCCUACUACUGAACGACAUCAUAGCCAUUGUAACAUCAUAGCACAACCAAUCACCUUUUCUAUAUUUAGAUAAGGAGUUCAUAUGCUGGAAUGAUAGUGACACAGGAGUUUAACACUCCUACAGUAUCCAGAGCCUGGAUCCCUG
rnacentral:lncRNA from 1 species